GCACUGAUAUUCCCAUUUCACUGAUGAGGAAGUUGGGACCUAGAGAUGCUACAUAACUACUGUGUUGGGAUCAGGGUCCUAGAAUUCUAGGAUUUUAGAUUUGAAAGGGACCUUGAGGGCUAUGCAGGGCAAUCACUUAAUUUUAAAACUGAUACUAUUGUGGGGUGCUAGAGGUGAACCCCUGGAGUCUGGGGAGGGUACCUUGUGCAAGAAUGCGAGACUGAAACUUAGCUUAAAAAUAAAGAGAGAAAUGUAUUCAUUUGGAAGGUAAUGUUGAAUCUGGCCAGGAGGACAGCAUAGGUGAAACAGCAUAGGUGGAAAGCUGCUCCUCGGGAGGACAGCAUGCCGGGAAAGCUGUCCUUCAGAGGCCAUCAAGCCUGGGAUUUUAUACUCUUUACCACCGAGUGGGGAGGGGAUGGGGGGGGCAGGGCUCUGGAGCUAGGGGUUGGGAGGAGGCUUGCCCGAAGGCAUGGGGGUGGGUCCAUCUCCAGUCCAAGGGACCAUAGAAGAAGGGCAAUCCAUCCUCCCGGUCAGGUGUUUUGGUUUGGGAGAGCCGAGCUGAGGAACUAGCCUGAUAAGAGUUUGCCUGGGUUUCUUCUGGGGGACAAUGCCCAAGCCUGUUCGGAGUCCUGCAAAGAUGCAGAAACCUUGGCAUUUUACAGACCGAAAUGCAUAUUCUACUUCUGGGGAAGAUUGUAUCUGCAAAGUUGGAAAAGGAAAACAAACUCUUCAAUUCCUCCGUUGUAUAAACAAGUUGAUCACAUUUUAAUUGGAAGCCUGGAAUGUAUGGAGUGCAAAGGAAGUGAAUUGCACCAAGUCCUUGCGCUCCAGAAUCUCCCAGGGAAGGAGGCGAGGCAGAUUUUGUUUUGUUUCGGGUGUUUUUAUUCAACCACCUCCAAGGAUUCAUGCUUCUUCGUUGAGCUCCCCAGGAAGGGAAUUCUCUUUACCAAUGCAGUAUUCCAGAAUCAACAGGGAUCAGUUCUGAUGUUUCUCCUUCAGAUGAAGAGAAUGAGGAAGUUUCUAGACACUACUUUGGAUGACAGAUAUAACCAUGUAGGGACUUUGGGUUCCUCAGUAGAUAGGAAGAUAUGGGAGCAAAAUCUUCCUGGAGAAGAAUUUGGAAAGCUCCAUUCGACAUAUAUUAUGGAUUUGGUGACCCUACUUUCAGGGUCUGUUCUUGACUUUGCAGCCUUCAAGAGGCAGAGAAGCAGUAGCCCUGAUGCAGCUAGUCCUCAUAGACCUUCAAAGAGACCAGGCUAGCCUUCUGGGAGUAACCAGGUGUUCCAUCCACUUAAAGACUUAAGUAGGCCACUUCACCUCUCUGCACCCCUGUCAGAGCCUUUUUUUUUUUUUGCUGUGGGCACUGUUAUAGAUGCAUGUCAACUGCCACUGGUAUCACAAGCUCAGCUGCUGCAGUCUUCUUCCAAGUAGGGAUUCCCAUGGGUGGCAACCUGCAUUUUGACACUGCUAUUACCUUAAAAGACAAUCUUCUCAACUUCCUAGGGAGGGGAAUGCUGAAGAUCCUGAAGGGAGUGGUAGAUGGGUACCAAGUCCUUGGCUUCCCUGUGAGAGGAAUGAUCCCUCAAACCUAUGAGAAGAAUGAGCCAUCAGUCCCAAAAUUGCCUUUCCUCUCACUUCCAUUCCCAAGUUUCUUUGUUUCUGUCUUUUCCUUUGAGAGUUCUCACUAUCCCUGAACUAGACUUUCCCUUCUAGUUCUUUUUUUUUACUUUUUUAUUUUACAUUAUCCCUUCAUAAUAACAAAAAUUUUAAUAGCAAUUAUAUAAUUUUAAGUUCCAAAGAAUCUCUUCUCUCUUCCUUGCUUUUUUCCUUCCUUCCUUCAUCCUUUGUUCCUUCAUUCCUUCCUAACCUCCUCUCUCUCCUUCCUUCCUAUCUUCCCUCUCUCCUUCCCUCCCUUCACUUCCUUCCCAUCUCACCUGGCUUUUUCAUUUUAUAAGCAAGAAAACUGAAGCCCAGAAAAGUUGUUUCAUUCCAAUCCAUCCUCCCCUCAGC
rnacentral:lncRNA from 1 species